AAACACAAAUAGGCAGACAGGGAGAGAGGAACAGACUGAAAAGAAAUAGCUGGAAAGAGGAGAAGUGUUUGAAAGGACUUUGUUUGAAUCAACCCUAAAGACCAGAUUCUAGCUAAAUAUCUGAACCUUGUUAAAGAGAGCUUGCAAUUCCAUUCUUAAGGGAACUCUUAUUGAUAGAGAUGGAAUAGGGAGUUAUAUGGACUUAUAGAAUAGAGCUGAACCCAAGAACAAAGAACUCAAGUACAUCUAACUAUACCAGCCACUUGGGGGCAAACAGACUGACGUCAAGACGUUUCAAGAAGUGUCUAGAAACAUUUGAGCUUUGUGAGAAUACCAGAUGACCGAAAACAAGAGAGAACUGAAUAUGCAGC